rnacentral:rRNA from 1 species
AGGACGAACGCUGGCGGCGUGCCUAACACAUGCAAGUCGAACGGGGAUUUGUUUCGGCAGAAUCCUAGUGGCGAACGGGUGAGUAACGCGUAGGCAACCUGCCCUCCGGCCGGGGACAACACUCCGAAAGGGGUGCUAAUACCGGAUACGAAGUCUGUGCCGCAUGGUACGGAUUUGAAAGAUGGCCUCUAUUUAUAAGCUAUCGCCGGGGGAUGGGCCUGCGUCCGAUUAGCUGGUUGGUGGGGUAACGGCCUACCAAGGCGACGAUCGGUAGCCGGUCUGAGAGGAUGAACGGCCACAUUGGGACUGAGACACGGCCCAGACUCCUACGGGAGGCAGCAGUGGGGAAUCUUCCGCAAUGGGCGCAAGCCUGACGGAGCAACGCCGCGUGAGUGAGGAAGUUCUUCGGAACGUAAAGCUCUGUUGUUCCUGACGAACCUCCCUUCUAUCAACAACGGAGGGGACUGACGGUAGGGAACGAGGAAGCCACGGCUAACUACGUGCCAGCAGCAGC